AGAGUUUGAUUAUGGCUCAGGAUGAACGCUAGCUACAGGCUUAACACAUGCAAGUCGAGGGGCAGCAUUGGAGUAGCAAUACUCAGAUGGCGACCGGCGCACGGGUGAGUAACACGUAUCCAACCUGCCGCUUACUCGGGGAUAGCCUUUCGAAAGAAAGAUUAAUACCCGAUGGUAUAAAGAGUUCGCAUGUUCUCUUUAUUAAAGAAUUUCGGUAAGCGAUGGGGAUGCGUUCCAUUAGAUAGUUGGCGGGGUAACGGCCCACCAAGUCUACGAUGGAUAGGGGUUCUGAGAGGAAGGUCCCCCACAUUGGAACUGAGACACGGUCCAAACUCCUACGGGAGGCAGCAGUGAGGAAUAUUGGUCAAUGGACGAGAGUCUGAACCAGCCAAGUAGCGUGAAGGAUGACUGCCCUAUGGGUUGUAAACUUCUUUUAUAAGGGAAUAAAGUGAGGGACGUGUCCCUUUUUGUAUGUACCUUAUGAAUAAGGAUCGGCUAACUCCGUGCCAGCCGCAGC
rnacentral:rRNA from 1 species